AACUAGGGAAGAUGGCCCAGGCCGAGGAAAUCGCUCCCACGCCCCGCUGCUGUCCCCUCCCCUGAGCUGGGGGAAGGGACCCAUCUAGAAGGGAGACCCCCUCUCUCUUUCCUUCCCGGCCCACGCCCGCCCUGGGAAUGUCUCCGUGGUCUCACCGGAACAGCUCUCUGGCCUCGUGGCCUGCUGCCCCCACCCCGACGCCCAAUACUGCCAACGCGAGUGGGCUGCCAGGGGUGCCGUGGGCGGUGGCCUUGGCGGGGGCGCUGUUGGCGCUGGAGGUGCUGGUCACCGUGGGAGGCAACUUGCUGGUAAUCGUGGCCAUCGCCCGGACGCCGAGACUCCAGACCAUGACCAACGUGUUCGUGACUUCGCUGGCCACAGCAGACCUGGUGGUGGGACUGCUGGUAGUGCCGCCGGGGGCCACCUUGGCCCUGACCGGCCACUGGCCCCUGGGAGCCACUGGUUGCGAGCUGUGGACCUCAGUGGACGUGCUGUGUGUGACAGCCAGCAUCGAAACCCUGUGCGCCCUAGCCGUGGACCGUUACCUGGCAGUGACCAGCCCGCUGCGCUACGGUGCGCUGGUCACCAAACGGCGCGCCCGGGCAGCAGUGGUGCUGGUGUGGGUCGUGUCCGCCUCGGUGUCGUUUGCCCCCAUCAUGAGCAAAUGGUGGCGCGUGGGAGCCGACGCCGAGGCACAGCGUUGCCACUCCAAUCCCCACUGCUGCGCUUUCGCCUCCAACAUACCCUACGCGCUGCUCUCCUCCUCCGUCUCCUUCUACCUCCCGCUUCUGGUGAUGCUCUUCGUCUACGCGCGCGUUUUCCUCGUGGCUACGCGCCAACUGCGCCUGCUGCGCCGGGAGCUGGGCCGCUUCCCGCCCGAGGAGUCUCCGCCGACUGCGUCGCGCUUUGUGUCCCCCGCCCCAGCUGGGCCGUACGCUUCGCCCGCAGGGGUGCCCUCUUACGGUCGGCGGCCCGCGCGCCUUCUGCCUCCCCGGGAACACCGGGCCCUGCGCACCUUGGGUCUCAUCAUGGGUACCUUCACUCUCUGCUGGUUGCCCUUCUUUGUGGCCAACGUGAUGCGCGCUCUCGGGGGCCCCUCUCUGGUUCCCAGCCCGGCUUUCCUGGCCCUUAACUGGCUAGGCUAUGCCAACUCCGCCUUCAACCCGCUCAUCUACUGCCGCAGCCCCGACUUUCGCAGCGCCUUCCGCCGUCUCCUGUGCCGCUGCCGGCGUGAGGAGCACCAGGCCGCCGCCUCCCUGCCUAGCGACCCCUCGGGCGCCCCUGCUGAACUGGCCAGCCCCGCGGAGUCCAGGCAGUGCCCACCGCUCAACGGGUAGGGACACACGUCAUUGGAUUUGGAGCCUAUCCUAAUCCAGGAUAACAUCAUCUCAAGACCCUUAAUUGUAUCUGCAAAGAACCUUAAUCCAAAUAAGACCACAUUCUGAGAUUCCAGGUUAACAUAUAUUUGGGGACUACCAUUUGACCCAAUAUAGUGAGAGACACUUGUAAAUCCUUUAACUGAGAGUUCUGGUCUUGAAGAUUAACAUCCACUCUAGUCACCCCUCAGAAAGGGCUGUUCUCUCCAGAAUCUCUUAGACUUUGUGGGAGGCAGAAUUCUGAGAACUCCCAAGGACCCCUGUCCUUGUCUAAUUCCCUCUGCUUAAAUGUGGGUGGGACCUAUAAUUUGCUUCUAAGAAAUAAUAAUAUGACAAAGGUGAUGGGAUAUCACUCCUGUGAUUAGGUUGUAUUACAUGGCAGAGGUGAAAGGACUUUAAAGAUGUAAUUAAGGUCUUUAAUCAAUUGAUUUAGGUUAAUUAAAAAGCAGAUUAUCCUGGGUGGGCCUGACCUAAUCAGGCAAGCCCUUUAAAAGAAGGUCAGAGGUCAGAGAUGGAAGACAUCAGAAAGAUACUCUGGCUGUCCUCGAGGAAGCUAGCCACCUGAUUUCCACAAGUGCAAGGAAGUAGAUCCUGCCAACAACCACGUGAAUUGGAAAAGGACACUGAGCAUCAGAGGAGACUGUGGCCCUGGCUGACAUCUUCACUAUAGCCUGGUGAGACCCUGAACAGAAGAUCCAGCUCCCCCAUACACAGACUCUUGAGACAUGGAAACUGUGAGGAGGACCAAGAAUGCACCAUAGUUACGUUGGACCUCGAUGAGAGCUGCUUUGAUGGCAUGGAGGUGAUGGAGUGGGCGCAAGAGAACUUGGGAAAUGAAGAAGUGAAGAUAGAAAAUAUAAAACAAUCUCUCCCUAGCUGCUGUUCUGAAGAGGAUCAGAGAAAUGUGGUGGGUGGAUGAUCUCCUUGUCAUCUUAAUUAAUCUGGGUACCUGUUUCCCAGAAUUCUUGUUAGAUUCUGGGUUAGAGUUGACCAAAAGAGGAGAAACCUGCCAAAGAUGUGAGAGGCAGAAGAGAAAUGGCCCCCACUUAAUACCGCAGGGACUACAGAGUGAGAAUAGAAAGCACACGUGUUGGGGGAGGCUGCUUGUCUUCAGACUCUCCUCCGUGCCAGGCCCAGAGCAGGUGCUCUGCUUCCAGAGUGCGGGCUCUGCCGACUGUGGGAUGCCACACCACUGAGGACUUGGCUGCACACCCGCAGAUGUGGAGCUGUGCAGAAGCCCUAUUUUCCCAUAGACCCCUCCACGCAUCACCCCUUCUGAGUCCCAAUUCUGCAAAUGAUGUGUCUGGCUUCUCAGAUUUCCCUGGAGGCUCUGAUUUGUCCACCAGGGGAGUUUCAGACAGCCUGACAAAGGAUUUUUCUUUCAAUCUCCAACUCCCUUCCCGGGACCUUCCUUUCCCUGGGUCCUCUUGCAAUUGUGUGAGGUCUAAUUCCCACAAUACCCAAUUGCUCACAGCAGUUCUGCUUCUCUGGUUGAACCCUGACUGACUCAUGGGGUCACAGCUGGAGAGGGGAGGGGAGGUCACCAGAGCGGUGUUUGUUUUUAAGAUGGGGGUUCCGCUGCCUGUUUGUACGCCCGAGAGAAUGUUCUAGGGAAGAGGGGUGAUUGGCGAUGGAGGAGAGGAAGGACAAGUGCAGGACAGUGUAGCCAGGACCCAGGCAACAAAGGCAGAGGGUGGACUGAGAUGGGGCCCAGAAGAGGGGGGCUCAAGCACCCUACUAAGAGAAAAGAGAGUAGGUGGGUACUUACGUCAGUAGAUGGGCAGCUGUGAUGGGCGCCCAUGAAACCCUCUUCUGACAGCUUUUCCUGUCUCUGUGAAACAAGUACCCUCAGUAGUGUGGGAGGAAGUAUGGGGGUGUUGGAGAAGGGAGGGAAAGGGGUGAUAAAAUUGUGAAAAUUUGUCUUUUUUGGAUGCCCAGCCUGUGUACCUCUUUCCAGAAGAAAGUCUUCCUUUUCAGACUCUCGUAGGAAGGCAGCGCCCACCUGCCCUAACUGAGGGGGUCAUGACCAGAUCUGCUCUCCUCCCACCCCUUAGCUAGAGCGGGGGUGGGGGGGCGCGGGGCACUGGAUCACGUGAGUGGGCUCAGCCAAUCAGACGCGGACUUCCUGGUCCGUGGGCCUUCGGAGAUGCGAGUUGCGAUGGAAGGACCGUGGAGGGUCCGUAUCCACCGCAGUAGCUGUGCCAGCGAAGACCCAUGUCUGGGACCUGCAGUGGCAGCCGGCCUUCGGGUGGCCAAGCAGAGGACUGUGAAGGUGGGGUCAGUCACUGCGUCCUCUGAUGUUCAGCAGUAGGAUCCCCACCUGCUUCCUUUCGUGGUCUGAUGGCAGCGGUGGGUCCUGCUCCCAAAUCUCCAGCCUCCCUAUCGCUGACGCGAGCUACCAUAGAUCUUUUCUAUAAAUUCCUCUUAUACACGAACCAGCUAGAGCCCGUUUCUGUGGCUUGCCACCAAGUACCUUAACGGAUACUGACCGGAAUCAGAGACUUGAGCCAACGAACAGACAUUCUUCUUUUCCGAUUUCUCUUCACAGGCAGUUGACGUCAUUUUGGGGGUUUCCUCCGUGGCGGGCCCAGUAGCUUCUGAGAGCUUUAGGAUCCUUUGCAUACAGCUCUAUGACUAGAGAGUAAUGGACAGCUCUUCUCUGCCAGCUCCAGCAGGACUCCAAGAGCCCAGGCUUGAGCCACGUGCCUCCUCUCCCAGGAAGCGCUGUCACUCAGGAUUCGAGGACCAAAGCUGCGGAGAGGGUUGGGGCCAGCUACCAGAAAGAGUAGGAAAGGGGUUUCUGGGUGGACUUGGAGAAAAAUCACUACCUUCCACCUUUUGGAAGCUCAUCAGCCCACAUUUUUCUCCAAACAUGUAAUUUUAAGAAUGGUCAAAACUAACAGAAUGCAGUGUUUCUGCAUGCAAGUAAAAACUUGCUCUCUCCUCCCAAAAGGAACAACCCAAACUCACAUCCAACAUCCGGCUCUGAGUUAGGAUCUCUGGGUGAGGUGAAUUUUCUUCAUCUGAAAGCGGCUACCCAUAAUACUGGAGCUUAUGGACUGAAGCGGAAUUUAACUAUUCCCUAAUAUAUCCAGUGUUCAGUGCUGGAAGGGAAAAGGCUAUGAAGGCCAUCUAGAAAAGCAGGGAAGGGGAGCAACACACAGUGAUCACUGGUCCAGAGCACAUACCAUGUUUGUGUGGACAGGGACAGAAGGAGCAACCAUUUGUUUGAUCCGCGGUCCUAGCAAUGGAAUGAGCUCUUUGGAUCAGUUAUAAGGACACCCCUCUCUCCCAGCCCUUUAUGAUUUUUCUUUACCCUUUGUCCUCCUUGACUGAGCCUGAGGGGUCUAUGGGAAAAUUUCCCCAUGAGGACUACUCCACUUUAGCAGCCAACUUCUGUGACCAUGGUUACUAGAACCUGAAGAUUGGGGUCUUGCAAUUUCCUGUGGGAGGGGGGAGCCCUUUAAAAACUAGUCUGUUCAAAUGUUAGUUUGAACUUCCCAAAUACUCUGUGUUAUAAACUCUAGACUCAAAACUUCCUUGGAUAUUGAUAUGGUGGUUUCUGUCUCUUGGUAGCCUGAGGGGCAUGCUCUUUUCCAUAAUAAACCUCACUCAAUUCUAUAUUAUUUGUUGAUCCCCAUUUAAAAAUGCAUAGGGGCUCCUAGGUGGCACAGUCAGUUAAACAUUGGACUCUUGGUUUGGGCUCAG